GAGCUGUUCAUGCUUUGGCAUUUUGUUGAUUUUCAUUCACAGUAUGUUAGGAUGUGUAAAAUGUGCAUCAUGGGGCCGUGUUAAACAGGUUUCCACUUUUGUUGCAGUACACCUCCCCGCAGGCGUCAGCAUAUGGCAGGAGUACUGUUGGAGCCGACUGUUAUAAUUGGUCCGGAGCUGCCCUUGUUCGCAGAGGCGCCUGCUUCACAGCUGACCUGUCGCUUAAUGUUGGCAGAGAUCACUGCAUGCUGUGAGGAGGAGAGAGGCCCAGAAGGGCACAGUGCACGUCCACUACCACCAGAUGGGGCUCAGCAAGGGGAAAGUGGUGUUGGACAGAAGCUCAUCAAUCAGCAGUGAUCUGGAGAGAUGCUCUAUACACACUGGCACUGAGGAGGAUCGCAGGAAUAGCUCUCAGAGCAAAGUCACUGUGGAGAAACUAGAAAGGGAAAACGCUAAGCUGAAAAUGCAGUAUGAAGAGCUGAAGCGCCAGUAUGUGCAGCUCCUGGAGGAGGCGAAGGAGGAGAAGUUUGAGGAAAGGAGAGUCAACCUGCUCAAAGCUCAGGUUAUGCAGCUGGAAAGACAGGUGAUUUUGCUGUCUGAAGGUCUGAGCUCGCAGCUGUGCUGCAGUCAGGAUGUAGAGAAGGCUCUUGAUCCUCUAACACACAGAUUAAGAUCACUGCUGAGCUCUGGAGGUGCUGAUGAGGUGAUCAUAGCUUGGUCUGAGCUCACCCAGCUCGUGGAAAGGUGUGAAGAUGUGAAGCAGAAGCUCCACAGGAAAAUUAAGGUGAGCUCGGCGGAGGACCUGGCCGUUCCCUGGCUGCUGAGUGGGUCAAAACUGACCAAGCAGCCCACCACCACCCUGCUGGACCUCUGCUACGGCAAGAUAAAUAACCUGAACCUUCAGCAAGUGAGCGCUCUGGAGUCCAGGCUCAGCCAGCUGUUCAAACACCUGCACGGAAUACGACAGACCGUUGGCCUGAUCCUCGCCCCUCACCCAGAUCUCCACCCCGCUAAGCUAGCAAGUCCCAAGCAAGUCCCGACGCCCCCGGCUCCCUCAGCCCUCUACGCCCGGCUGCUCAACCAGGCCAGCCUCUGCUGCUCAGACCUGGACCGCUGCUGCCGAGACCUCCUGACCCUGUCCCUCAUCGUACCCUCAGCACCCUGGGCUGGCUCAGAACAACGGGUGAUCCCUGAGCUGGAGGUGGAGAACAUCCUGGCAACGCUGCCUGCCUUCCCCCGGGGAGCGCCCCUCCAGCGGGCCAGACGCUCCGCCCAGGCCCUCAGCCGAGCCGCCAAUUACUCACUGCUAAUGGCCCAGCAGCAGGUAGAAGCUCUGGAGACUGAGCUGGAGUUCCACAGGAGCCUGUACAGCCUGCAGGUGCGAACCGUAGAGGAGCUGGUGCAGGGAAUCCGCCAGGCCUACCAAACCUUCCAGGAGAACAUCUCUCACAGCCUGUGUGCUCCACUGCAAGAUGUCCUUUCAUGUUACGAGGAUCUGAGGGGCUCGGCGUCGGAGGCUGCUCUCCGCCGCUUCCUGUCAGCUUUUAAGAGCAGCUCGGCGCAGAUACGUGAGGCAGUGGAGGCCUUCGGCCCUUCAAAGAGUCAAGGAGAUGAAGCCCUGGCGCAGUACGGUCGUGAUUUCCUGCAGUCUGUGGAAGCUCUGCUGAAAGACUGCGCUGAAAACAGAGAGAAAGCAGCCAGUAAGCUUCAGCUGCUUCAGCACAAGCAGCAGCAGGCCUUACACACCCUACACACACUCUCCAGAGCCCACCGGAGAGAGCCCAGCAUCCCACCAGCCCAGCCACAUGCACCGGGUCCUGCUACCACGCAGCAGGUCAGCCCUCCAGCCCUGGAUCAGUCUGGAAACUCUGGAGACCCCAGCAGGAGACUCCCAGAUAAACAACCCACUCUCCUGCCAGCCCAGCAGGAGCACAGAGCGCUGAGAAAGCCUCUGACAGAGGACAUCGCAUCAGAUACCUCCAGACACGAGACGCCCCAACCCACCGGGGUCAACCAGAGGCCAACCAGGAGGAGGAGGAGGAGUUCUCCCAGGAGCAGAGAGGUAGCAGCUAAAGCAGAGCAGCAGUAGAGCACUGAUAUUACAGACACUGCAGAGAGAACAGGUUACGCCUGCUUCAUGCUUUUCAUUAUUAUAAUAUAAUAUUAUACACUUUUAAAAGUGGUUGACUUAAUGCAGUAUUAAAUGUCUUUUUCCUGAUAUAUCUCAUUAACAACAGUGUAUUUGCAAUAUUCUAAUUUUCAUGAUUUUCUUAUGCUAUUACUCACAACAUGACAUACCAGUACCAGUCAAAAGUUUAGACAAACCUUCUAAUUUUUUUUCAUACAUUGUAAACUAAUACUGAAGUGAUUCAGACUAUAAAGGAACACAUAAAAAUAAUGUAGUAACUUAAAAAAGUGUUAAACUAACCAAAACACUCUGAUAACUCGGUACCACUUUAAAAUAAGACUACCUUUAUAAAGGGUUUAUAAAUAGUUAAUUACAAUUAGUUUAUUAGGGUGUUAAUGCCUUAAAAAUCAUUAAUAAUCAGUUAUAACACAUGCGUAGAAUGGGCAACAAUGACCUGUUGUUUGCCAAAUAGUGAACUAUAUUACACAGCCGUCUAUAUUGUUGCUCUUUCUACGUAUGUGUUAUAACUGAUUAUUAAUAAUUUUUAAGGCAUUUACAACCUAAUUAGUAACCAUUAAUAAACUCAUUGUAAACCAUUUAUAAAUGCUUUAU
ensembl:lncRNA